GUUAUGGGUCCGAAAAGCAGAUCUGAUCCUUGUCCCUCCUGAACAUCCUUCCUCAGAGACUGCUGGAUGACAUGCCUGUCUUUGCACACUCGUCCCCCUCCUCUGCCCCCGCCCCACUCCUGAGCACCUUGCCAUGUGUGUCGGGCCUCCACCCUCCUGAACCCUUGCAGUAGUGGUGGAGGAGGCGGGGAGGGGAGAGAGUGAGCCUCCGCCUCCCUUCCAAGCUCUGUGUCUUUAGGAACAGCCCUGCCAGCACAUCAGACUGAGAAAAAAGGACAGAGGGACAGUCAUGUCUAAUUCCACAGACGCCUGGGACGGCGGGCUGGGGAGGAAGAGGCGCUCGGCUGCCGGGCCCCGUGCUGGCUGUGUGGUGAGGCCCGACGGCAGACAGCGAGUCUGGGCUGCGUGCUUCCUGGGCGGCUGUGACAGACACAGAUUGCCGGGACUGCCCGAGACCUUGGUCAUUCUUUGACCACUGCUGUUGGAAUUUCACAUAAGUGGACGGAUACAGGAUCAACACUUUUGUGUCUGACUUCCUUUCGCCAGACAGAACGUUUUGGAAAUUCAGAUUGCUGCAUGUCUCCAUGGUUCAUUGUUUUUCUUGCUGGACGGUUUGGUAUUCCAUUGUAUAGGUACACUGUUUACUCCAUACACACACCUGUUGAUGGACAUUUCGGUGCCUUCCAGUUUUUGGCUAUUGUGAAUAAAACUGCUGUGAAUAUUCAUGUUUACCAAUCUUUGUAUGGACAUACACUUUAUUUCUCUUGGGUUGAGAUGACAGAAGUGAUGGUUGAAGUACGUACUUGUAUUUCACUCUAUACAAAAAGUGCCACAACUGUUUUCUAAAAUGGGAAGUCAUAUCACAUUCCCAGUUGUUCUGUGUCCUUUUGUCAUUCUUUGGAAGUUGAGCCCUUCUUGUGAGUGUUGAUGGCUUGUCGUGCCUUGAGUUGGCAUUUCCUAAUGAUGAAUGGUGUUGCACACCUUUUCAUUUGCCUGCUCAGCCAUUUGUAUAUCUUAUUUUGUGACGUGUCCAGAUCUUUUACCCAUGAAAAAUGGGUUGUCUCAUCAAGCUCUAAGAAUUCCUUAUAUGUUUAGGGUGCUAGUCCUUUGCCAGAUACAAGUCUCUGGCUUGGCUUUUAAUUUUGUCACCAGUGUCUUAAACAGACAGAUCCUUAUAAUUCUGAUGAAGUUCAGUUUGUCGUUUUUUCUUUAUGGUUUAUGCUUUCUUUAAUGGUCAAGAGGUCAGGGGUCAUUGUUUUCCCUGGAUAUCUGGGCAUUCCAACACCAUUUUGAAAGGCCACCCUCUCCCAUUGUGUUACUCCAUUGCUGACAGUAUGUGUGGGUGGACUUCUGGAUUCUCUAUUCGUUGAUCUUAUUGCUCAUAUCCUGCAGAUUUGAUUAUAUUAGCUUUAAAAUAAGUCUUGAGGUCAAGUAUAAGUAGUUUUCUAACUUGGUUUUUCUUUUUCAAAUCAUUUUGGCCCUUCAAGAUAUGAUGCUGCUGCUGCUGCUGCUAAGUUGCUUCAGUCGUGUCUGACUCUUAGCAACCCCAUGGACUACAGCCCACCAGGCUCCUCCGUCCAUGGGAUUUUCCAGGCAGGAGUACUGGAGUGGGGUGCCAUUGCCUUCUCCGAAGAUACGAUGUAGUUCUAUGUAAAUGUGAAAAUUGGCUUGUCAGUUUCUCAAAAACAGCUUACUGGCAUUUUGAUUGGGAUUAUAUGGAAGCUAGGGAUCUGUUAGGGGAAGAAUUGACAUUGUAAGAAUGUAGAACAUGGUACAUAUUUCUCCAUUUAUGUAGGUCUCUGUAUUAAUUAUCUAUUGCUGUAUAAGAAAUUACCCUUGAACAUUAUGAUUUAAAACAAUGAAUUUUUGUUCUCUCACAGCUGCCAUGGGUCAGGAAUUAUACAGUGGCUUGGCUGGGUGGUUCAGGUUGCAGGUUUAGCCCGUGGUGGGGAUGCUCCGCCAGGUGGCUCCUUGAGGGCCAGCCAGGCUCUUGGCCCCACCCUUCUGGCCUCUGGGCAGCCUCACCCCAAGGCCCCAGUUCAGGAGAGAGCCCGCAAGCGAGAGGCUGCACUGCCCUCCAGGACCUGGUCCGGAGCUGGUACCUCCUGGUUUCAGGCUUUGUUUCCAUUUGUUCCUUAGAAGUGAUUACCUGAGUCCAAGUGAAGUGAUCGAUUAACUGCUUUCAAGCCAUAUUGAGGGGAAGUUGACCAGGCUCUGCCCUCAGCAGCCAGCGUCAGCGCCUGUUCUGUUUGGAGACACUAAUUUUGCAAAUGAUACGUUUAACAUUUUACAUGUUCCAAUCCUUUGUUACUAGUUCAGAGACAUAAAUUUUAUUUUGGCGUACUGUCCUUUGUAUCCUGCAACCUUUCUAAAUAUAUUCAUGUGUUCGAGUAGCCCCAUUAUAGAUUUCUAAGGAUUUUCUACAAAUCUUUCUACAUGCCUCCUGCAUCUAAGAAGUUAUUUUCCUUUCCAUCUGUAUGCUCUUUAUUUCGUGCCUUAGUGCACUGCCUGGGGGUUGCAGUGUUGAGUAAGAGGGGUAUGAGUUGAUGCUCUUACCUUGUUCUCAGUCCCGAGG
ensembl:lncRNA